AACGAACGCUGGCGGCAUGCCUAAUACAUGCAAGUCGAACGAGAAAGUCCUUUCGGGGAUGAGUAGAGUGGCGCACGGGUGAGUAACACGUAGGUGACCUACCUUUUAGCUGGGGAUAACAUAGAGAAAUCUGUGCUAAUACCGAAUGAAGUGCAUGAGUUUGAAAACAAUGCACCAAAGGUGGCGUCCGCAAGGAGCUAUCGUUAGAAGAAGGGCCUGCGGGGUAUUAGCUAGUUGGUAGGGGAAUGGUCUACCAAGGCGACGAUACCUAGCCGGUUUGAGAGAAUGAUCGGGCACACUGGAACUGAGACACGGUCCAGGCUCCUACGGGAGGCAGCAGUAGGGAAUAUUGCGCAAUGGGGGCAACCCUGACGCAGCAAUGCCGCGUGAGUGAAGAAGGCCUUCGGGUUGUAAAGCUCUGUCAGAGGGGAAAAAGGAUAUGUGUUCGAACAGGGCAUAUAUUUGAUGGUACCCUCAAAGGAAGCACCGGCUAACUUCGUGCCAGCCGCCGCCGUAA
rnacentral:rRNA from 1 species